rnacentral:rRNA from 1 species
GAGACAGCAGCAGCCACGGGAAUACGAAGGGUGCAAGCGUUACUCGGAAUUACUGGGCGUAAAGCGUGCGUAGGUGGUGGUUUAAGUCCGUUGUGAAAGCCCUGGGCUCAACCUGGGAAUUGCAGUGGAUACUGGAUCACUAGAGUGUGGUAGAGGAUAGUGGAAUUUCCGGUGUAGCAGUGAAAUGCGUAGAGAUCGGAAGGAACAUCUGUGGCGAAGGCGACUAUCUGGGCCAACACUGACACUGAGGCACGAAAGCGUGGGGAGCAAACAGGAUUAGAUACCCCUGUAGUCCCUGUCUCUUAUAC